GACGAACGCUGGCGGCGUGCUUAACACAUGCAAGUCGAACGGAAAGGCCCUGCUUUUGUGGGGUGCUCGAGUGGCGAACGGGUGAGUAACACGUGAGUAACCUGCCCUUUACUUUGGGAUAACUUCAGGAAACUGGGGCUAAUACCGGAUUGGAGCUCCUGCUGCAUGGUGGGGGUUGGAAAGUUUCGGCGGUUGGGGAUGGACUCGCGGCUUAUCAGCUUGUUGGUGGGGUAGUGGCUUACCAAGGCUUUGACGGGUAGCCGGCCUGAGAGGGUGACCGGCCACAUUGGGACUGAGAUACGGCCCAGACUCCUACGGGAGGCAGCAGUGGGGAAUAUUGCACAAUGGGCGGAAGCCUGAUGCAGCAACGCCGCGUGCGGGAUGACGGCCUUCGGGUUGUAAACCGCUUUCGCCUGUGACGAAGCGUGAGUGACGGUAAUGGGUAAAGAAGCACCGGCUAACUACGUG
rnacentral:rRNA from 1 species